AUCAACUAUCAAAAGAAUAACAAAAUAUUUACUAUUAGCUUUCUAGUACAUAUGGUUGCACGCAAAAGGUGAACUUAUGCACAACUCAAUAGUCACAUCUUUACAUACCACAACGUUUUUCAUUUUUUAUUUUCUUUUACCACUAAUUUAAUCUGGUUUGAAAGUCAAUUCUAACAUAAAGUGGUUCCAACCAUCUCCCAAUCACAACGCCGUUCAUCAUCAACAUCAUUUCAUCAUCUUCACCGUCGCCAACAUUUGAACGAACCAAACACAAAAUGGUGAAAAGAAAACAGGAUUCUAGGAUGGGAACAUGUUUUGACUCCUUUAAUGAGUAUUCCUUGAAGGCUUUUUUUGAACAAGAGUAUUCCUUGAAGGUUGGUAAUGUGAAUCAGAUUGUUGAGAUCUCUUCAACUUUGGAACUAUAGGAACUUUAAACCCUUCAGUUCAUUUUGAUGACAGAAGUAAUUUGAUAUUGAGAAUGAGAAUAAGAGUAGGGGAAAGUUGAACAAAAUUAGAGAAAUACAAUCAAAAUAAUAACUUGCAUCUUUCAAAAAUUUGUCAAAGAUACAUUCCAACAAAACUCAUCUCAUAGUUUAUUGGAGAUUACUGAGGAUAUGUGUGACAGCAAGACUGACCCUGUAUGAUACUGAUGUGCAAACUAGUAGACUCCCCAACUUGAUUUCUAUUCUAUUCAGUUAGUUAUGACAGUUAUUUUUGUAAUUUUUCUGCUGUGUCAAUUAUGUUGUAAUCCAUUUGUAUAUAAAGUUUCAUCUCAAAGUAACGAAUUAUGGAUUUUUUUCAGUCUCUGACAUGUGAGUUGGUGUAUGAAGAAUUGGUUCAUGUCUUAAUUCCCAAUUUGGUGGAGAAGGCAUAUUUGUUAUUUAUUAUGAGUUAUGUCAUUUUGA